rnacentral:rRNA from 1 species
CCUACGGGAGGCAGCAGUGAGGAAUAUUGGUCAAUGGACGAGAGUCUGAACCAGCCAAGUAGCGUGAAGGAUGACUGCCCUAUGGGUUGUAAACUUCUUUUAUAAAGGAAUAAAACGAGGCACGUGUGCCUCUUUGCAUGUACUUUAUGAAUAAGGAUCGGCUAAAUCCGUGCCAGCAGCCGCGGUAAUAAGGAGGAUCCGAGCGUUAUCCGGAUUUAUUGGGUUUAAAGGGAGAGUAGAUGGGUUGGUAAGUCCGUUGUGAAAGUUUGCGGCUCAACCGUAAAAUUGCAAUUGAUACUGGCAGUCUUGAGGACAGUUGAGGUAGGCGGAAUUCGUGGUGUAGCGGUGAAAUGCUUAGAUAUCACGAAGAACCCCGAUUGCGAAGGCAGCUUACUAAACUGUGACUGACAUUGAUGCUCGAAAGUGUGGGUAUCAAACAGGAUUAGAUACCCGAGUAGUC